rnacentral:rRNA from 1 species
AGGCUUAACACAUGCAAGUCGAGCGCCCCGCAAGGGGAGCGGCAGACGGGUGAGUAACGCGUGGGAAUCUACCUUUUGCUACGGAAUAACGCAGGGAAACUUGUGCUAAUACCGUAUGUGUCCUUCGGGAGAAAGAUUUAUCGGCAAGAGAUGAGCCCGCGUUGGAUUAGCUAGUUGGUGGGGUAAAGGCCUACCAAGGCGACGAUCCAUAGCUGGUCUGAGAGGAUGAUCAGCCACAUUGGGACUGAGACACGGCCCAAACUCCUACGGGAGGCAGCAGUGGGGAAUAUUGGACAAUGGGCGCAAGCCUGAUCCAGCCAUGCCGCGUGAGUGAUGAAGGCCCUAGGGUUGUAAAGCUCUUUCACCGGAGAAGAUAAUGACGGUAUCCGGAGAAGAAGCCCCGGCUAACUUCG